AGAAACCAACCGGGAUUGCCUUAGUAACGGCGAGUGAAGCGGCAAAAGCUCAAAUUUGAAAUCUGGUACCUUCGGUGCCCGAGUUGUAAUUUGGAGAGGGCAACUUUGGGGCCGUUCCUUGUCUAUGUUCCUUGGAACAGGACGUCAUAGAGGGUGAGAAUCCCGUGUGGCGAGGAGUGCGGUUCUUUGUAAAGUGCCUUCGAAGAGUCGAGUUGUUUGGGAAUGCAGCUCUAAGUGGGUGGUAAAUUCCAUCUAAAGCUAAAUAUUGGCGAGAGACCGAUAGCGAACAAGUACAGUGAUGGAAAGAUGAAAAGAACUUUGAAAAGAGAGUGAAAAAGUACGUGAAAUUGUUGAAAGGGAAGGGCAUUUGAUCAGACAUGGUGUUUUGUGCCCUCUGCUCCUUGUGGGUAGGGGAAUCUCGCAUUUCACUGGGCCAGCAUCAGUUUUGGUGGCAGGAUAAAUCCAUAGGAAUGUAGCUUGCCUCGGUAAGUAUUAUAGCCUGUGGGAAUACUGCCAGCUGGGACUGAGGACUGCGACGUAAGUCAAGGAUGCUGGCAUAAUGGUUAUAUGCCGCCCGUCUUGAAACACGG
rnacentral:rRNA from 1 species